UGUUUUUUUAAUAAUGUUUGAUGAAAAAUGUCAUUAAUUAUCGUAAGACUUAUUGAACAAUAAAUUCAUCUAUUAGGAGCUACAUGGAAGCCUAACUUCUGUUUUUCUUUAUUGUUCACCAAAUUACUCAGUCCAAACCAAGUGUAAGUUCACUGACAGUUGCUUUCACCGCUCUCACACGCCCCUCUAUUGAUUUCAAGGCAUGUAAGUUUCAAAUUCAGUUAAUUUGUCAUCUUUUUAUUGGAUCUUGCUAUUGAUUUGUGAUUUGUUAUAGAUGAAUGACAAAUAAAGAUAAAUAUGACUACCACAGUCAUUCUACAAAUAAAGAUGAAUAUGCAAAGCAGAGUCAUUGAGUACCCAUUUCAAUGACUGCUUUGUAAUGAUCCUGCUUGAGGAAAGGAAGAAGGGGUUUGGGGGUGGGGAUGACAGAAAUUCAGAUUCUGAAGAGUAGAGCUGCGCCGAUUUUUUUUACAUGUGGGAGUGCCGAGAGUGGGA